UACAGGAUCAAGCAAAAAGGAAGCACUUGUUGGAUCUGAGAUCUGUCACCAAAUGUUUGGAACUUCAUGAUAUUGAUCCUUCAGAACUUCUUCCUGGGUGGCAAAUCAAUGAGAAAAUAAUGAGCUUGGAGAAAGAAUUUACCGUAGGUGAGAACCUUAGCAAAAAAAAAAGUGCCAGGGCUGCGAAGAGGGCACAAAAGAGAAAAAAUGAUGAAACUGAGUCGUCUAGAAAGUUCAGCAACAAAGAACCGAAGCACUCACAUGUUCCAAAUCCAUGGCUACAACAGGAAAGAGUUUAUAGUACACCCGGGCAAAUAGGGAGUCAUUCUGGUCAGCUAUAUCGAUGGCCUGGGAAUUCAGCGGUGUAUGACGGACUGGCCUCCUGCAGCUAUGCUACUGGUCAGCUAUAUCGAUGGCCUGGGAAUGCAGCGGUGUAUGACGGACUGGCCUCCUGCAGCUACGCUCAUCCUUUUUCUCACUUGUACUGGCCGAGAUAGUUUUACCUUGGGCAGUCAUUACUUUCUACCUUAGUUUCUAUUUUUGUAGUAUAGCCAGUGUAGUAGUGAUUUCAUUAAGGUCUCUUAAGACGUACAUAGCCUCAGAAAUGUUUGCAUUUCAUUAGCUACUGAGAGAACUAUGGCCAAUAUUAGAGCCUUGGAUAAUGUGGUCUCAAACUGUAACUAGCAAAUUUCAUUUGUCUGGAAAGACUUAAACUUAUAUUAUUAAGUUGAGACAGAAGUACUGCUGGCCAAUAUUAAAGCUUUGGAUAAUGUGGUCUCAAACUAUGACUAGCAAAUUUCAUUUGUCUGGAAAGACUUAAAAUUACAUUAUUAAUUUGAGACAGAAGUAUUGGGGAUAGGUGAUCAGGCAAGACAUGGUACGACCGCAGAUUUUCGAGGACGUAACCCUUGAUAGGAAGGCCUGGAGGUCAAGUAUUAGGGUUGUAGGAUAUGGGUAGUAGAGCUUUCCUUAAUAGCGGAGGUGAGGCGAGGUUAGAUUAUGGUUGAUCUUAGAUGGCUUGCAGUUUAUGUUGAACC
rnacentral:lncRNA from 1 species